GAUGAACGAUGACAGAAUGCUUAACACAUGCAAGUCAACUUGAACUUUGGUUUGGGUGGCGGACGGGUGAGUAACGCGUAAAGAACUUGCCUCACAGAUAGGGACAACAUUUGGAAACGAAUGCUAAUACCUGAUAUUAUGAUUUUAGGGCAUCCUAGAAUUAUGAAAGCUAUAUGCGCUGUGAGAGAGCUUUGCGUCCCAUUAGCUAGUUGGAGAGGUAACGGCUCACCAAGGCGAUGAUGGGUAGCCGGCCUGAGAGGGUGAUCGGCCACAAGGGGACUGAGACACGGCCCUUACUCCUACGGGAGGCAGCAGUGGGGAAUAUUGGACAAUGGACCAAGAGUCUGAUCCAGCAAUUCUGUGUGCACGAUGAAGUUUUUCGGAAUGUAAAGUGCUUUCAGUUGGGAAGAAAAAAAUGACGGUACCAACAGAAGAAGUGACGGCUAAAUACGUGCCAGCAGCCGCGGUAAUACGUAUGUCACAAGCGUUAUCCGGAUUUAUUGGGCGUAAAGCGCGUCUAGGUGGUUAUAUAAGUCUGAUGUGAAAAUGCAGGGCUCAACUCUGUAUUGCGUUGGAAACUGUGUAACUAGAGUACUGGAGAGGUAAGCGGAACUACAAGUGUAGAGGUGAAAUUCGUAGAUAUUUGUAGGAAUGCCGAUGGGGAAGCCAGCUUACUGGACAGAUACUGACGCUGAAGCGCGAAAGCGUGGGUAGCAAACAGG
rnacentral:rRNA from 1 species